GCUGCAACUCGCCUACACGAAGCUGGAAUCGCUAGUAAUCGCGGAUCAGCACGCCGCGGUGAAUACGUUCCCGGGCCUUGUACACACCGCCCGUCACACCAUGAGAGUCUGUAACACCCAAAGCCGGUGGGAUAACCUUUAUAGGAGUCAGCCGUCUAAGGUAGGACAGAUGAUUAGGGUGAAGUCGUAACAAGGUACC
rnacentral:rRNA from 1 species